rnacentral:lncRNA from 1 species
ACGCGCGAGGGGGAAGGCUGGCUCUGUUGCGGCGCUGGAGGCUCACCCUAGCUGCUAGGGUUUCGCUUGUAGCUUUGGGCUUAGGUGAUUUGGGCCAUUGGGUUUAGUGGGUCAGGCUGGUAUUGGGUUAACAGUUUAGGCUUGGGACUUUGGAUUUUGUAAUCGGGUUUGGGCUUAAUCUACUUGGUUUGUAAUUUGGACU